UACGUAGGGUGCGAGCGUUAAUCGGAAUUACUGGGCGUAAAGCGUGCGCAGGCGGUUCGUUAAGUCAGAUGUGAAAGCCCCGGGCUCAACCUGGGAACUGCAUUUGAAACUGGCGGGCUUGAGUGUGGCAGAGGGGGGUGGAAUUCCGCGUGUAGCAGUGAAAUGCGUAGGGAUGCGGAGGAACACCGAUGGCGAAGGCAGCCCCCUGGGCCAACACUGACGCUCAGGCACGAAAGCGUGGGGAGCAAACAGG
rnacentral:rRNA from 1 species